GACGUAGGGCGCGAGCGUUGUCCGGAUUUAUUGGGCGUAAAGAGCUCGUAGGCGGCUUGUCGCGUCGUCCGUGAAAACCCACAGCUCAACUGUGGGCUUGCGGUCGAUACGGGCAGGCUAGAGUUCGGUAGGGGAGACUGGAACUCCUGGUGUAGCGGUGAAAUGCGCAGAUAUCAGGAGGAACACCGGUGGCGAAGGCGGGUCUCUGGGCCGAUACUGACGCUGAGGAGCGAAAGCGUGGGGAGCGAACAGG
rnacentral:rRNA from 1 species